rnacentral:rRNA from 1 species
AUUGAACGCUGGCGGCAUGCUUUACACAUGCAAGUCGAACGGCAGCGCGGGCUUCGGCCUGGCGGCGAGUGGCGAACGGGGGAGUAAUGCAUCGGAACGUGCCCAGUAGUGGGGGAUAGCCCGGCGAAAGCCGGAUUAAUACCGCAGACGACCUGAGGGUGAAAGCGGGGGACCGAAAGGCCUCGCGCGAUUGGAGCGGCCGAUGUCGGACUAGCUAGUUGGUGGGGGAAAGGCUUACCAAGGCGACGAUCCGUAGCUGGUCUGAGAGGACGACCAGCCACACUGGGACUGAGACACGGCCCAGACUCCUACGGGAGGCAGCAGUGGGGAAUUUUGGACAAUGGGGGCAACCCUGAUCCAGCCAUGCCGCGUGCGGGAAGAAGGCCUUCGGGUUGUAAACCGCUUUUGUUCGGGAAGAAAUCCUCUGGGCUAAUACCCCGGGGGGAUGACGGUACCGGAAGAAUAAGCACCGGCUAACUACGUG